rnacentral:rRNA from 1 species
AACGAACGCUGGCGGCAUGCCUAACACAUGCAAGUCGAACGAGACCUUCGGGUCUAGUGGCGCACGGGUGCGUAACGCGUGGGAACCUGCCCUUAGGUUCGGAAUAACUCCCCGAAAGGGGUGCUAAUACCGGAUAAUGUCUUCGGACCAAAGAUUUAUCGCCUUUGGAUGGGCCCGCGUUGGAUUAGCUAGUUGGUAGGGUAAAAGCCUACCAAGGCUACGAUCCAUAGCUGGUCUGAGAGGAUGAUCAGCCACACUGGGACUGAGACACGGCCCAGACUCCUACGGGAGGCAGCAGUGGGGAAUAUUGGACAAUGGGCGAAAGCAUGAUCCAGCAAUGCCGCGUGAGUGAUGAAGGCCUUAGGGUUGUAAAGCUCGUUUACCCGGGAUGAUAAUGACAGUACCGGGAGAAUAAGCUCCGGCUAACUCCGUG